rnacentral:misc_RNA from 1 species
UUGAAAUAAACCUGAUGGGUUGUUGCUGGUUCUCUAGGGAGCAUGUGCACACCUUGUCACCUUUAUAUCUCCACCUGUGCACCUUUUGUAGACCUUUUACAGGUCUAUGUUGCUUCAUUUACCCCAAUGUAUGUUAAUAGAACGUUGUGCCUAUAUAUAAUAUAUA